GCCGACUUAGCUCAGUUGGUAGAGCAAUCGCCUUGUAAGCGAUAGGUCAUCUGUUCGAGUCAGAUAGUCGGCACCC
rnacentral:tRNA from 1 species